UCGAGAAUUUUUCACAAUGGGCGAAAGCCUGAUGGAGCGACGCCGCGUGGGGGAUGAAUGGCUUCGGCCCGUAAACCCCUGUCAUUUGCGAACAAGUUGUUUCACCUAACACGUGAAGCAUUGAUAGUAGCGAAAGAGGAAGGGACGGCUAACUCUGUGCCAGCAGCCGCGGUAAUACAGAGGUCCCAAGCGUUGUUCGGAUUCACUGGGCGUAAAGGGUGCGUAGGCGGUCGGGUAAGUCUGACGUGAAAUCUCCAAGCUCAACUUGGAAAUGGCGUCGGAUACUAUUCGGCUCGAGGAAUGGAGGGGAGACUGGAAUUCUCGGUGUAGCAGUGAAAUGCGUAGAUAUCGAGAGGAACACCAGUGGCGAAGGCGAGUCUCUGGACAUUUCCUGACGCUGAGGCACGAAAGCCAGGGGAGCAAACGG
rnacentral:rRNA from 1 species